UACGGAGGGUGCAAGCGUUAGUCGGAAUUACUGGGCGUAAAGGGUGCGUAGGCGGACAAGUAAGUCAAUUGUGAAAUUCCGGGGCUCAACCCCGGAGCUGCAACUGAAACUGCUUGUCUAGAGGGAUGUCGGAGAAAACGGAAUUCCACGUGUAGCGGUGAGAUGCGUAGAUAUGUGGAAGAACACCUGUGGCGAAGGCGGUUUUCUAGCCUCCCCCUGACGCUGAGGCACGACAGCAAGGGGAGCAAACAGG
rnacentral:rRNA from 1 species